CAUCCUGCUUCUCUCCUGAAUCAGCAGCGCAGCAGCUUCAGUCGAGAGCUCUUUAGCUGUAGUCCCUAAAUGACAGGCUUUGUGUUCUGCUUUCAGAGGUGUGUCUCUGAGAGCAGGAGUGGAUUCAUGAGAGGAGGAGCUCAUGGUUUCUCAGCUGCUUCAUAUCUGGGGUCCAGAAGGUUUUCUCAAGCACAUUGACGGGGUGAUCGAGUUUUACAGAUCUCAGAGGAACGCCAUGCACUCCUCAGCAGACCAAUGGCUCAAAGAUGUAGCUGAAUGGCAUCAUGGCCGGCAU